AGUUCGAUCAUGGCUCAGAUUGAACGCUGGCGGGAGUGUUUUACACAUGCAAGUCGAACGGCAGCACGGACUUCUCGGUCUGGGUGGGCGAGUGGCGAACGGGUGAGUAAUGUAUCGGAACGUGCCUAGUAGCGGGGGAUAACUACGCGAAAGUGUAGCUAAUACCGCAUACGCCCUUCGGGGAAAGCGGGGGGACCUUCGGGCCUCGCACUAUUAGAGCGGCUGAUAUCGGAUUAGCUAGUUGGUGGGGUAACGGCUCACCAAGGCGACGAUCCGUAGCUGGUUUGAGAGGACGACCAGCCACACUGGGACUGAAGAAGACGGCCCAGACUCCUACGGGAGGCAGCAGUGGGAAUUCUGACAAUGGGGAAACCCUGAUCCGCGCCAUCCUGCGUGUGCGAUGAAGGCCUUCGGGUUGUAAAGCACUUUGGCAGUGAAAGAAACGGCACGGGAUAAUAAUUCCCGUGCAACUGACGGUACCUGCAGAAUAAGUACCGGCUAACUACGUGCCAGCAGCCGCGGUAAUACGUAGGGUGCAAGCGUUAAUCGGAAAUUCAUUGGGCGUAAAAGCGUGCGCAGGCGGUUCGGAAAGAAAGAUGUGAAAUCCCAGAGCUUAACUUUGGAACUGCAUUUUUAACUACCGAGCUGAGUGUGUCAGAGGGAGGUGGAAUUCCGCGUGUAGCAGUGAAUGCGUAGAUAUGCGGAGGAACACCGAUGGCGAAGGCAGCCUCCUGGGAUAACACUGACGCUCAUGCACGAAAGCGUGGGGAGCAAACAGGAUUAGAUACUCCUGGUAGUCCACGCCCUAAACGAUGUCAACUAGCUGCUGGGGCCUUCGGGCCUUGCAGCGCAGCUAACGCGUGAAGUUGACCGCCUGGGGAGUACGGUCGCAAGAUUAAAACUCAAAGGAAUUGACGGGGACCUACACAAGCGGUGGAUGAUGUGGAUUUCACCUGAUGCAAUGAAAAACCUUACCUACCCUUGACAUGUCUGGAAUCCCGAAGAGAUUUGGGAGUGUCUGCAAGAGAACCGGAACACAGGUGCUGCAUGGCUGUCGUCAGCUCGUGUCGUGAGAUGUUGGGUUAAGUCCUGCAAACGAGCAGCAACCCUUGCCGUUAGUUGCUACGAAAGGGCACUCCACGAGACUGCCGGUGACAAACCGGAGGAAGGUGGGGAUGACGUCAAGUCCUCAUGGCCCUUAUGGGUAGGGCUUCACACGUCAUACAAUGGUCGGGACAGAGGGUCGCCAACCCGCGAGGGGAGCUAAUCCCAGAAACCCGAUCGUAGUCCGGAUCGCAGUCUGCAACUCGACUGCGGUGAAGCCGAAUUCUGCUAGUAAUCGCGGAUCAGCAUGUCGCGGUGAAUACGUUCCCAGUCUUGUACACACCGCCCGUCACACCAUGGGAGUGGGUUUUACCAGAAGUAGUUAGCCUAACCGUAAGGAGGGCGAUUACCACGGUAGGAUUCAUGACUGGGGUGAAGCCGUAACAAGGUAACCCCAGCUACCUGAUGCUCCUG
rnacentral:rRNA from 1 species